UACGGAGGGUGCAAGCGUUAAUCGGAAUUACUGGGCGUAAAGCGUGCGUAGGUGGUUUGAUAAGUUAUCUGUGAAAUCCCUGGGCUCAACCUGGGCAGGUCAGAUAAUACUGUUGGACUCGAGUAUGGGAGAGGGUAGUGGAAUUUCCGGUGUAGCGGUGAAGUGCGUAGAGAUCGGAAGGAACACCAGUGGCGAAGGCGGCUACCUGGCCUAAUACUGACACUGAGGCACGAAAGCGUGGGGAGCAAACAGG
rnacentral:rRNA from 1 species